AGUGAACGCUGGCGGUAGGCCUAACACAUGCAAGUCGAACGGCAGCACAGUAAGAGCUUGCUCUUACGGGUGGCGAGUGGCGGACGGGUGAGGAAUACAUCGGAAUCUACUUUUUCGUGGGGGAUAACGUAGGGAAACUUACGCUAAUACCGCAUACGACCUACGGGUGAAAGCAGGGGAUCUUCGGACCUUGCGCGAUUGAAUGAGCCGAUGUCGGAUUAGCUAGUUGGCGGGGUAAAGGCCCACCAAGGCGACGAUCCGUAGCUGGUCUGAGAGGAUGAUCAGCCACACUGGAACUGAGACACGGUCCAGACUCCUAAGGGAGGCAGCAGUGGGGAAUAUUGGACAAUGGGCGCAAGCCUGAUCCAGCCAUACCGCGUGGGUGAAGAAGGCCUUCGGGUUGUAAAGCCCUUUUGUUGGGAAAGAAAAGCAGCAGGUUAAUACCCCGCUGUUCUGACGGUACCCAAAGAAUAAGCACCGGCUAACUUCGU
rnacentral:rRNA from 1 species